GAUGAACGCUGGCGGCGUGCCUAAUACAUGCAAGUCGAGCGAACAGACGAGGAGCUUGCUCCUCUGACGUUAGCGGCAGACGGGUGAGUAACACGUGGAUAACCUACCUAUAAGACUGGGAUAACUUCGGGAAACCGGAGCUAAUACCGGAUAAUAUAUUGAACCGCAUGGUUCAAUAGUGAAAGACGGUUUUGCUGUCACUUAUAGAUGGAUCCGCGCCGCAUUAGCUAGUUGGUAAGGUAACGGCUUACCAAGGCAACGAUGCGUAGCCGACCUGAGAGGGUGAUCGGCCACACUGGGACUGAGACACGGUCCAGACUCCUACGGGAGGCAGCAGUAGGGAAUCUUCCGCAAUGGGCGAAAGCCUGACGGAGCAACGCCGCGUGAGUGAUGAAGGUCUUCGGAUCGUAAAACUCUGUUAUUAGGGAAGAACAAAUGUGUAAGUAACUAUGCACGUCUUGACGGUACCUAAUCAGAAAGCCACGGCUAACUACGUG
rnacentral:rRNA from 1 species